UGAGUAUUUGAAUGGCCGCAGUAUUUUGACUGUGCAAAGGUAGCAUAAUCAUUAGUUUUUUAAUUGAAAGCUGGAAUGAAAGGUUGGACAAGAAAGUAGCUGUCUCUUUAUAAAUUUGUUAGAAUUUUAUUUUUAAGUUAAAAAGCUUAAAUAUAUUUAAAAGACGAGAAGACCCUAUAGAGUUUUAUAAAAGUUUAUUAUUGGUUUUUUUUUAUAAUCAUUUAAAUAGAUAAUAUAUUUUAUUUUGUUGGGGUGAUGGGAAAAUUUUAUGAACUUUUUUUUAUUUAAAACAUAGAUAAAUGAUUUAUUGAUCCUUAAAUUAAGAUUAAAAGAUUAAAUUACCUUAGGGAUAACAGCGUAAUUUUUUUGGAGAGUUCAAAUCGAUAAAAAAGUUUGCGACCUCGAUGUUGGAUUAAAAUUUAAUUUUGGUGUAGAAGCUAGAGUUUUUAGGUCUGUUCGACCUUUAAAAUUUUACAUGAUCUGAGUUUAAACCGGUGUAAGCCAGGUUGGUUUCUAUCUUUAAAAUAUAAUAAUAUUUUAGUACGAAAGGACCAAAUAUUUAUAAUAGAGUUAU
rnacentral:rRNA from 1 species